GGGUAGGGUGCGAAGGUAGGGGUGAAGCGCUGUCUCCGAUGGAAGAAUAGCAAUUUCGCAGAAAUUGCUUCCUUAGCCUUCCAAGCUCAUGGCCCGGGUUCAAAUCCCGGCCGGCGCA
rnacentral:tRNA from 1 species